UACCUGGAUGAUUCUGCCCUUUUUCAGAUGCAUUGUCUCAUAAAUUAACCCAUGCCUGUCUAAGUAUAAACACGCUUAUACUGUGAAACUGCGAAUGGCUCAUUAAGCCAUUCAAUCAGAAGUAACGACAGGCGGUGUGCUACAUGGAUAACUGUGGUAACUCUACGCAAGCUGAUGACUCACGCUUACCCCGACUUCUGGAAUGAGAGUAUUUAUUACAUAAAAAUCAACACUGUUGGAGAAUCAUGAUAACUACUACGAUCUCAUGGCCUACUGCUGGCAGAUACUUCAUUCUCAUAUCUGCCCUAUCAACUGUCGAUGGUAAGAUAGAGGCCUACCAUGGAUGCAACUUGUAACGGACAAUAAUGGUUCGAUUCCCGAUAGGGAGUCUGAGAAACCGCUACCACAUCCUAGGAAAGUGGCAUGUUCACAAAUUACCCGACCCCGACACUGUCAGAUAUUGACAAUAUGUUACAUCCUACGGCUUUAACGUCGCAUAAUUGGAAUGACUACAAUUUAAAUCCCAUAUCUAGGAACGACUGUACGGCAAAUCUGGUGACAUCAUCAGCUUCUAACUCCAGCUACCAUAUCGUAUAUCAAAGUUGUUGCAUGUAAAAAGCUCUUAGUUGGACCCUGUAACUGUACGGCCUGUCACCCUCACGGCGUGUACUGUCUUGCCUGGGAUUUCCUCUUAGGGAUCUGAUGAUUCAGCAACAUGAAAUCAACACAUUUACUUUCAAGAAAUUAUACUGUUCAGAGCACGAUCGACUCUAGACUAUAUCAACAUGCAAUACUACAAUACGACGUGCGGAUCAAUUCCGUUGGAUAUGCUAUCGCCAUAAUGAUCAUCACGGACUCUCGGAAGCUCUCGUCCUCACGUGCAAUACGAGUACAUCUUAGAGUCUGUGUAGACUAUCAUCUGCAAACGCAUAUGCCAAGAUGUUAUCGUUACUCCAGAUCGAAUGUACGAGAUCGAAUAUUCUGACAUCCAGUCGAGUCUUAACCUCUAACUAUGUCAACUAGAGAUCGUGCGAUGCUAGCUUCUUAACUCCAUAUGCACUUACGAAAGUCCAGCUUUUUGGUUCCGGG
rnacentral:rRNA from 1 species